AAACCGUUCAGGGGUAAACCUGAGAAACCCAAAAGAUCGAAUGGGGAGAUUCAUCGUCGACGGCGCCGGUUCCCGUUGGUGAGCGAUGCUCCGGGUGGGCCUUCGUGGUUCCAUUAGCGAGGGCACGCCACCUUCGGUGUCGAACGCGCCGGUGUCGUAGUCGUGCACUUCUCCCCUAGUAGAACGUCGCGACCCGUUGUGUGUCGGUCUACGGCCCGAGUGGGCGCCUGUCGCGUCGCUUCGGCGUACGCGGCAGACCCUCGGUCGCCCGGCCGACUGCACGACGGUACACGCACGGUAUCGGGCCGCAACCAAUCCAUUUUCUCGAAUAUGUGUGUGUGCGUCUGGACCGCCGCAAGCUUCGCCCUUACUCCGCAGUCUCGGGCUUACGUCCCGUGCUCGGGUAUUGGCAGCUGUUAGCAGCGCGGAUAUCUUGGACUGGCCAAAUCUCGAAUUACCGGUCGGCGACGCUAUUGCUUUGGGUACUCUCAGGACCCGUCUUGAAACACGGACCAAGGAGUCUAACAUGUGCGCGAGUCAUUGGGACAUUAAAACCUAAAGGCGAAAUGAAAGUGAAAAUCGGCGUUCGCGUCGAUGGAGGGAGGAUGGGCCGCGCAACUAUGCGGCCUCGCACUCCCGGGGCGUCUCGUUCUCAUUGCGAGGAGAGGCGCACGUAGAGCGUA
rnacentral:rRNA from 1 species